GCUUGUGUUGAGCUAAAAGUUAAGGGGCGUAUAUAUACUAGCUCUGCUAGCGUGUUUUUUGAUGGGAUUCAUGGAUCCUUGCCAUAUCCAGCUAAGUUAUUGAUUUUGUAGACGCUGCUAUGUUCUAAAGGUGUCAACUUUACAUGGGGUCAAUGUAAUUUUGCAAUGGAGAUGAGUCGUUGACCUCAACUGUUUCAGCCUCUUGAU
rnacentral:misc_RNA from 1 species